UCUUUCAAGUUGUAGGUGUGUUGGCUGCUCUCGCUUACCCGAAUCACUUACUUGAGUAAGCUCAUCGGGGUUCGCUUGCUGGCCGCCUUCCUACAUCUUGAAAUCUAUUGAGUAUGGUUUGGAUAUACAAUCAUUAAGGGCUGACUUCCAGCCCUUAACAUAUUGAAAGAUUGAGAAUUACUUCAGCUUUGGAAAGAAUGUGUGCUUAAGUAAGUGAUUCGGGUUAUUGAGUGCAGCCAACACACCUGCAGUUUGAAAGA
rnacentral:misc_RNA from 2 species